UACGAAGGGGGCUAGCGUUGCUCGGAAUUACUGGGCGUAAAGGGCGCGUAGGCGGCACUGUUAGUCAGGCGUGAAAGUCCUGGGCUCAACCUGGGAACUGCGCUUGAUACGGCAGAGCUAGAGGAUGGAAGAGGGUCGCGGAAUUCCCAGUGUAGAGGUGAAAUUCGUAGAUAUUGGGAAGAACACCGGUGGCGAAGGCGGCGACCUGGUCCAUUACUGACGCUGAGGCGCGAAAGCGUGGGGAGCGAACAGG
rnacentral:rRNA from 1 species